UACAGGGGGGGCAAGCGUUGUUCGGAAUUACUGGGCGUAAAGGGUUCGUAGGUGGCCGCUUAAGUCAAACGUGAAAUCCCUCAGCUUAACAGGGGAACUGCGUCUGAUACUGGGAGGCUUGAGUGCAGGAGAGGAACGCGGAAUUCCAGGUGUAGCGGUGAAAUGCGUAGAUAUCUGGAGGAACACCGGUGGCGAAGGCGGCGUUCUGGACUGUAACUGACACUGAGGAACGAAAGCCAGGGGAGCAAACGGG
rnacentral:rRNA from 1 species